AUUACAAGCAGGAGCCACCAAACCUGGCUACGAUAUGCAUUUUUACAAUGGCUUUUUGUUGUUGUUGUUGUUCUGAAAAGAUUCCCAAGCCACCAUCCAGUUUCAUAAGUAAUUUUCAAUGCAGCAACAUUUCAUCUUCUCAUGAGAAGGUCAAGCAGACUCUGCCAUGUCUGGUCAUGAGG